GGGGGGGGGGGGGGGGGGGGGGGGGGGGGGCGGGGGGGGCGGAGGGAGGAGGAGCGUGCUCCUCUGACGUUGGCGGCGGACGGGUGAGGAAGACGUGGAUAACCGACCUAUAUGACUGGGAUAACUUCGGGGAACCGGAGCUGAUACCGGAUAAUGUAUUGAACCGCAUGGGUCACUAGUGAAAGACGGUGUUGCUGUCCCUUAUCGAUGGUUCAGCGCCGCAUUAGCUAGUUGGUACGGUAACGGAUUUCCAAGGGAACGAUGCGUAGCCGACCUGAGAGGGUGAUCGGCCACACUGGAACUGAGACACGGUCCAGACUCCUACGGGAGGCAGCAGUAGGGAAUCUUCCGCAAUGGGCGAAAGCUUGACGGAGCAACGCAGCGUGAGUGAUGAAGGUCUUCGGAUCGUAAAACUCUGUUAUUAGGGAAGAACAAAUGUGUAAGUAACUAUGCACGUCUUGACGGUACCUAAGCAGAAAGCAACGGCUAACUACGU
rnacentral:rRNA from 1 species